rnacentral:rRNA from 1 species
UUCGCCCUUCCCUAUGGGGUGAGCAGGCGAGAAAACUUUGCAAUGUGCGAAGCACGACAAGGUUAAUCCGAGUGGUUUCUGCUAAAGGAACCUUUUGUCAGUCCUAGAAACACUGAUGAAUAAGGGGUGGGCAAGUUCUGGUGUCAGCCGCCGCGGUAAAACCAGCACCUCAAGUGGUCAGGAUGAUUAUUGGGCCUAAAGCAUCCGUAGCCUGCUUUGUUAGUUUUCGGUUAAAUCCAUAUGCUCAACGUAUGGGCUGCCGGGAAUACUGCAAAGCUAGGGAGUGGGAGAGGUAGACGGUACUCGGUAGGAAGGGGUAAAAUCCUUUGAUCUAUUGAUGACCACCUGUGGCGAAGGCGGUCUACCAGAACACGUCCGACGGUGAGGGAUGAAAGCUGGGGGAGCAAACCGGAUUAGAUACCCGGGUAGUCCCAGCUGUAAACUAUGCAAACUCGGUGAUGCAUUGGCUUGAUGCCAAUGCAGUGCCGCAGGGAAGCCGUUAAGUUUGCCGCCUGGGGAAGUACGUACGCAAGUAUGAAACUUAAAGGAAUUGGCGGGGGAGCACCACAAGGGGUGAAGCCUGCGGUUCAAUUGGAGUCAACGCCAGAAUCUUACCCGGAGAGACAGCAGAUGAAGUCAGCUGAGACUUUACCAGACAGCUGAGAGGAGGUGCAUGGCCAGGCGAU